rnacentral:rRNA from 1 species
UACGUAGGAGGCAAGCGUUGUCCGGAAUUACUGGGCGUAAAGAGCGCGUAGGCGGCACGGUACGACCGGUGUGAAAGCCCCCGGCUCAACUGGGGAGGGUCACCGGUAACGGUCGAGCUAUGAGUGCAGGAGAGGGAAGUGGAACUCCGGGAGUAGCGGUGAAAUGCGUAGAGACCCGGAGGAACACCAGUGGCGAAGGCGGCUUCCUGGUCUGCGACUGACGCUGUGGCGCGAAAGCUAGGGGAGCAAACGGG